ensembl:lncRNA novel transcript
GGGUUCGCGUGCUCUUCUGAGCUGUGGUCGUCAUGGACCGGAAGCGUGUGCGGCGCGCCUGCCUUGAGGCCAGCAUCAGGGAAGGGUGUCCCAGGUGCAGGCGAAGCUUCCUUCAGGUGCUCCUGGAGGACUUUUGGCUCGCAAGCGCUUCUCCAUUCUCCCAACGUCUCGGGCCUGAUGUUAUCAUCUCCCUAUCCUUGGCUGCACCUGAAAAGAGCAGGAGCCGGCAGGUAACCCGAUCGCCUCCCCCAGGUGAGUCUCCGAUGGAGGUGUCAACUACAAGACCAGGAGCAGAGCAGUCCUGGGGCUUUGCUGGAACCAUUGGCGUGGGAAUGCUGUCUCUUCCCUCGCCCGAGAGACGCCAGAUUCCCAGCGGGCAGCGGACUCGGUUCUAACCUUCCUCGCCCCAGCCUCUAGGAGCGCUCUGCACGCAGUGGGCGUCUAAUAAAUGCAGUCGGCC